rnacentral:rRNA from 1 species
UACAGAGGGGGCAAGCGUUGUUCGGAAUUACUGGGCGUAAAGGGCGCGUAGGCGGCCUUCUAAGUCGAACGUGAAAUCCCUGGGCUCAACCCAGGAACUGCGUCCGAGACUGGGAGGCUAGAAUCCGGGAGAGGGAUGUGGAAUUCCAGGUGUAGCGGUGAAAUGCGUAGAUAUCUGGAGGAACACCGGUGGCGAAGGCGACAUCCUGGACCGGCAUUGACGCUGAGGCGCGAAAGCCAGGGGAGCAAACGGG